ACACCAGGAAAGAGUAUUCCCCAUUACAUCAGGUAGUGAUGCCAAAAAGACUAGAACAUCGUCAGGUAGUGAUGCCAUAAAGACUAGAACAUCGUCAGGUAGUGAUGCAAUAAAGACUAGAACAUCGUCAGGUAGUGAUGCCAUAAAGACUAGAACAUCGUCAGGUAGUGAUGCCAUAAAGACUAGAACAUCGUCAGGUAGUGAUGCCAUAAAGACUAGAACAUCGUCAGGUAGUGAUGCCAUAAAGACUAGAACAUCGUCAGGUAGUGAUGCCAUAAAGACUAGAACAUCGUCAGGUAGUGAUGCCAUAAAGACUAGAACAUCGUCAGGUAGUGAUGCCAUAAAGACUAGAACAUCGUCAGGUAGUGAUGCCAUAAAGACUAGAACAUCGUCAGGUAGUGAUGCCAUAAAGACUAGAACAUCGUCAGGUAGUGAUGCCAUAAAGACUAGAACAUCGUCAGGUAGUGAUGCCAUAAAGACUAGAACAUCGUCAGGUAGUGAUGCCAUAAAGACUAGAACAUCGUCAGGUAGUGAUGCCAUAAAGACUAGAACAUCGUCAGGUAGUGAUGCCAUAAAGACUAGAACAUCGUCAGGUAGUGAUGCCAUAAAGACUAGAACAUCGUCAGGUAGUGAUGCCAUAAAGACUAGAACAUCGUCAGGUAGUGAUGCCAUAAAGACUAGAACAUCGUCAGGUAGUGAUGCAAUAAAGACUAGAACAUCGUCAGGUAGUGAUGCAAUAAAGACUAGAACAUCGUCAGGUAGUGAUGCAAUAAAGACUAGAACAUCAGGUAGUGAUGCCAUAAAGACUAGAACAUCGUCAGGUAGUGAUGCAAUAAAGACUAGAACAUCGUCAGGUAGUGAUGCAAUAAAGACUAGAACAUCGUCAGGUAGUGAUGCAAUAAAGACUAGAACAUCGUCAGGUAGUGAUGCAAUAAAGACUAGAACAUCGUCAGGUAGUGAUGCCAUAAAGACUAGAACAUCAGGUAGUGAUGCAAUAAAGACUAGAACAUCGUCAGGUAGUGAUGCCAUAAAGACUAGAACAUCGUCAGGUAGUGAUGCAAUAAAGACUAGAACAUCGUCAGGUAGUGAUGCAAUAAAGACUAGAACAUCGUCAGGUAGUGAUGCAAUAAAGACUAGAACAUCGUCAGGUAGUGAUGCAAUAAAGACUAGAACAUCGUCAGGUAGUGAUGCCAUAAAGACUAGAACAUCAGGUAGUGAUGCAAUAAAGACUAGAACAUCGUCAGGUAGUGAUGCCAUAAAGACUAGAACAUCAGGUAGUGAUGCAAUAAAGACCAUUCCACCAUUGGGUAGUGACAUCAUAAAGACCUUUACAUUUUUGGGUAGUGAUGCCACAAUGACAUCUUUACCUAAUGAUGUAAUAGUCUAAGACAAGCACAUCAAUUACCUCAACUAACCUGUACCCCCGCACACUGACUCGGUACUGGUGCCCCCUGUAACCUUGUUAUUGUGUUUUAGUCUACUUGAUAAAUAUUUUCUUAACUCUUCUUGAACUGCACUGUUGGGUUAAGGGCUUGUAAGUAAGCAUUUCACGGUAAAGUCUACACUUGUUGUAUUCGGCGCAUGUGACAAAUAAAGUUUGAUUUGAUGAUUAGGUAGUGAUGUCAUAAAAGUGUAGUUGGAUGUUGAG